rnacentral:rRNA from 1 species
GAUGAACGCUAGCUACAGGCUUAACACAUGCAAGUCGAGGGGCAGCAUGGUCUUAGCUUGCUAAGGCCGAUGGCGACCGGCGCACGGGUGAGUAACACGUAUCCAACCUGCCGUCUACUCUUGGACAGCCUUCUGAAAGGAAGAUUAAUACAAGAUGGCAUCAUGAGUUCACAUGUUCACAUGAUUAAAGGUAUUCCGGUAGACGAUGGGGAUGCGUUCCAUUAGAUAGUAGGCGGGGUAACGGCCCACCUAGUCUUCGAUGGGUAGGGGUUCUGAGAGGAAGGUCCCCCACAUUGGAACUGAGACACGGUCCAAACUCCUACGGGAGGCAGCAGUGAGGAAUAUUGGUCAAUGGGCGAGAGCCUGAACCAGCCAAGUAGCGUGAAGGAUGACUGCCCUAUGGGUUGUAAACUUCUUUUAUAAAGGAAUAAAGUCGGGUAUGUAUACCCGUUUGCAUGUACUUUAUGAAUAAGGAUCGGCUAACUCCGUG